CACGGGGGGAGCAAGCGUUGUUCGGAAUCACUGGGCGUAAAGGGCGUGUAGGCGGUCAGGUAAGUGGGAUGUGAAAGCCCUCGGCUCACCCGAGGAUCUGCAUCUCAAACUGCCUGGCUUGAGUAUGGGAGAGGAUGAGGGAAUUCCUGGUGUAGCGGUGAAAUGCGUAGAUAUCAGGAGGAACACCGGUGGCGAAGGCGGGUCUCUGGGCAGUAACUGACGCUGAGGAGCGAAAGCGUGGGGAGCGAACAGG
rnacentral:rRNA from 1 species